CCUANGGGUGGCUGCAGUGGGGAAUAUUGCGCAAUGGGGGAAACCCUGACGCAGCAACGCCGCGUGAGUGAUGAAGGCCUUCGGGUCGUAAAGCUCUGUCGCAGGGGACGAAAGCCAUCGGGUGAAUAAUCCGAUGGGAUGACGGUACUCUGCAAGAAAGCCCCGGCCAACUCCGUGCCAGCAGCCGCGGUAAGACGGAGGGGGCGAGCGUUGUUCGGAAUUACUGGGCGUAAAGGGCGCGCAGGCGGUCAUGCAAGUCGGUGGUGAAAGCCCACGGCUCAACCGUGGAACGGCCUUCGAAACUACAUGACGUGAGUACGGAAGAGGAGAGCGGAAUUCCCAGUGUAGCGGUGAAAUGCGUAGAUAUUGGGAGGAACACCGGUGGCGAAGGCGGCUCUCUGGUCCGAAACUGACGCUGAGGCGCGAAAGCUAGGGGAGCAAACGGGAUUAGAUACCCUGNUANUC
rnacentral:rRNA from 1 species